rnacentral:tRNA from 1 species
GUUAAGAUAGCAAAAAUUGGUCACUGCAUAAAACUUAAGCUUUUACUUACGGAGG